rnacentral:lncRNA from 1 species
GUCCGGGCGCUAAAAGCUUUCUCGACGUUUCCAAGCUUAGGCUCCUUUAUUAUUUGAGAUGAUGUGGCUUCCGCAUCCCAACCUCCCGGGUUUCAUCAAGAGUUGGUGGUCCCAAGGGACGAACACGACUUCUUCUAACGCUAGAAGACCACAGGAAGACACCCGGGACAAGAGCAUGUCGUGAAAGAAGCACACUGGUUUGCUUCGACCGUGUCUCCGGGGCACAGUUGAAUGUAGAUAUCAUGAACGAACAGGAUACUACAAUACACGGCUCUACGAAGGGGUUAGGAGCGUUUUCAC